UACAGAGGUCUCAAGCGUUGUUCGGAUUUAUUGGGCGUAAAGGGCGCGUAGGCGGCCGAUCAAGUCGGAGGUGAAAUCCCUCGGCUCAACUGAGGAACUGCCUUCGAUACUGUUCGGCUUGAGUCCUGGAGAGGGUAGCGGAAUUCCCGGUGUAGCGGUGAAAUGCGUAGAGACCGGGAAGAACACCAGUGGCGAAGGCGGCUACCUGGACAGGUACUGACGCUGAAGCGCGAAAGCUAGGGGAGCAAACAGG
rnacentral:rRNA from 1 species